rnacentral:rRNA from 1 species
GGGCAUACACCAAUGUACCAAACCCUAUCAAACUCCGAAUACCUUAUAUGUAAUCACAGCAGUCAGGCGGCGAGUGAUAAAAUCCGUCGUCAAGAGGGAAACAACCCAGACUACCAGCUAAGGUCCCUAAAUCUUACUUAAGUGGAAAACGAUGUGAAGUUACUUAAACAACCAGGAGGUUGGCUUAGAAGCAGCCAUCCUUUAAAGAAAGCGUAAUAGCUCACUGGUCUAGUGAUUUUGCGCGGAAAAUAUAACGGGGCUAAAGUAAGUACCGAAGCUGUAGACUUGCGCACAACUUAGAUUAUUUAAGUUUAGAAUAUGAGAAACUAAGUUAUAUGUUUAGUUAUAUUUUUACUGAUUUUUAUAGAGUAAAGAUAGAAAUAAAACUUAGUAAAAUCAGUAAAAAUAUUCUUAGACUAAAGUUAAGUAGUUUAAGUUGUGUGCAAGUGGUAGGAGAGCGUUCUAUUUGCGUCGAAGGUAUACCGGUAAGGAGUGCUGGAGCGAAUAGAAGUGAGCAUGCAGGCAUGAGUAGCGAUAAUUAAUGUGAGAAUCAUUAACGCCGUAAACCCAAGGUUUCCUACGCGAUGCUCGUCAUCGUAGGGUUAGUCGGGUCCUAAGUCGAGUCCGAAAGGGGUAGACGAUGGCAAAUUGGUUAAUAUUCCAAUACCAACAUUAGUGUGCGAUGGAAGGACGCUUAGGGCUAAGGGGGCUAGCGGAUGGAAGUGCUAGUCUAAGGUCGUAGGAGGUUAUACAGGCAAAUCCGUAUAACAAUACUCCGAGAACUGAAAGGCUUUUUGAAGUCUUCGGAUGGAUAGAAGAACCCCUGAUGCCGUCGAGCCAAGAAAAGUUUCUAAGUUUAGCUAAUGUUGCCCGUACCGUAAACCGACACAGGUGGGUGGGAUGAGUAUUCUAAGGCGCGUGGAAGAACUCUCUUUAAGGAACUCUGCAAAAUAGCACCGUAUCUUCGGUAUAAGGUGUGGUUCGCUUCGUAUUAGGAUUUACUCCGAAAGCGAAGAAACUUACAACAAAGAGUCCCUCCCGACUGUUUACCAAAAACACAGCACUCUGCUAACUCGUAAGAGGAUGUAUAGGGUGUGACGCCUGCCCGGUGCUCGAAGGUUAAUUGAUGGGGUUAGCAUUAGCGAAGCUCUUGAUCGAAGCCCGAGUAAACGGCGGCCGUAACUAUAACGGUCCUAAGGUAGCGAAAUUCCUUGUCGGUUAAAUACCGACCUGCAUGAAUGGCGUAACGAGAUGGGAGCUGUCUCAAAGAGGGAUCCAGUGAAAUUGUAGUGGAGGUGAAAAUUCCUCCUACCCGCGGCAAGACGGAAAGACCCCGUGGACCUUUACUACAGCUUGACACUGCUAUUUGGAUAAGAAUGUGCAGGAUAGGUGGGAGGCUUUGAGUAUAUGACGCCAGUUGUAUAUGAGCCAUUGUUGAGAUACCACUCUUUCUUAUUUGGGUAGCUAACCAGCUUGAGUUAUCCUCAAGUGGGACAAUGUCUGGUGGGUAGUUUGACUGGGGCGGUCGCCUCCCAAAUAAUAACGGAGGCUUACAAAGGUUGGCUCAGAACGGUUGGAAAUCGUUCGUAGAGUAUAAAGGUAUAAGCCAGCUUAACUGCAAGACAUACAAGUCAAGCAGAGACGAAAGUCGGUCUUAGUGAUCCGGUGGUUCUGUGUGGAAGGGCCAUCGCUCAAAGGAUAAAAGGUACCCCGGGGAUAACAGGCUGAUCUCCCCCAAGAGCUCACAUCGACGGGGAGGUUUGGCACCUCGAUGUCGGCUCAUCGCAUCCUGGGGCUGGAGCAGGUCCCAAGGGUAUGGCUGUUCGCCAUUUAAAGCGGUACGCGAGCUGGGUUCAGAACGUCGUGAGACAGUUCGGUCCCUAUCUGCCGUGGGCGUAAGAAGAUUGAAGAGAUUUGACCCUAGUACGAGAGGACCGGGUUGAACAAACCACUGGUGUAGCUGUUGUUCUGCCAAGAGCAUCGCAGCGUAGCUAAGUUUGGAAAGGAUAAACGCUGAAAGCAUCUAAGCGUGAAGCCAACUCUAAGAUGAAUCUUCUCUAAGCUCUCUAGAAGACUACUAGUUUGAUAGGCUGGGUGUGUAAUGGAUGAAAGUCCUUUAGCUGACCAGUACUAAUAGAGCGUUUGGCUUAUCUUU